rnacentral:rRNA from 1 species
GACGAACGCUGGCGGCGUGCUUAACACAUGCAAGUCGAACGGAAAGGCCCUGCUUUUGUGGGGUGCUCGAGUGGCGAACGGGUGAGUAACACGUGAGUAACCUGCCCUUGACUUUGGGAUAACUUCAGGAAACUGGGGCUAAUACCGGAUAGGAGCUCCUACUGCAUGGUGGGGGUUGGAAAGUUUCGGCGGUUGGGGAUGGACUCGCGGCUUAUCAGCUUGUUGGUGGGGUAGUGGCUUACCAAGGCUUUGACGGGUAGCCGGCCUGAGAGGGUGACCGGCCACAUGGGGACUGAGAUACGGCCCAGACUCCUACGGGAGGCAGCAGUGGGGAAUAUGGCACAAUGGGCGGAAGCCUGAUGCGGCAACGCCGCGUGCGGAAUGACGGCCUUCGGGUUGUAAACCGCUUUCGCCUGUGACGAAGCGUGAGUGACGGUAAUGGGUAAAGAAGCACCGGCUAACUACGUG